AGGACGAACGCUGGCGGCGUGCUUAACACAUGCAAGUCGGGCGGAAAGGCCAUUUCGGUGGUACUCGAGCGGCGAACGGGUGAGUAACACGUGAGUAAUCUGCCCCUGGCUUUGGGAUAGCCACCGGAAACGGUGAUUAAUACCGGAUACGACCCGCCCUCGCAUGGGGGUGUGUGGAAAGUUUUUCGGCCAGGGAUGUGCUCGCGGCCUAUCAGCUUGAUGGUGGGGUAAUGGCUCACCAUGGCUUCGACGGGUAGCCGGCCUGAGAGGGUGACCGGUCACACUGGGACUGAGACACGGCCCAGACUCCUACGGGAGGCAGCAGGUGGGGGAAUAGUUGGACGAAUGGGCGGAGGCCCGAUCCAGCAACGCCGCGUGAGGGAUGACGGCCGUUACGGUUGUAACCGUCUUUCAGUACCGGACGAAGCGGAAGUGACGGUAGGUACAGAAGAAGC
rnacentral:rRNA from 1 species